rnacentral:rRNA from 1 species
GGGGAAUAUUGCACAAUGGGCGAAAGCCUGAUGCAGCUAUGCCGCGUGUAUGAAGAAGGCCUUAGGGUUGUAAAGUACUUUCAUCGGGGAGGAAAAACAAAACUAAUAAUUUUAUUUCUUGACGUUACCCGAAAAAGAAGCACCGGCUAACUCCGUGCCAGCAGCCGCGGUAAUACGGAGGGUGCUAGCGUUAAUCAGAAUUACUGGGCGUAAAGAGCACGUAGGUGGUUUUUUAAAGUCAGAUGUGAAAAUCCCUGGGCUUAACCUAGGAACUGCAUUUUGAAACUGAAAUACUAGAGUAUCGUAGAGGGAGGUAGAAUUCUAGGUGUAGCGGUGAAAUGCGUAGAUAUCUGGAGGAAUACCUGUGGCGAAAAGCGGCCUCCUAAACGAAUACUGACACUGAGGUGCGAAAGCGUGGGGAGCAAACAGGGAUUAGAUACC